rnacentral:rRNA from 1 species
GGGGUAAAGCGAGAGCAGGCGGUUUUGUAAUCUGAUGUGAAAGCCCCCGGCUCACCCGGGGAGAGUCAUUUGAUACUGGGAGACUGAGUGCAGAAGAGGAGAGUGGAAUUCCACGUGUAGCGGUGAAAUGCGUAUAUAUAUGGAAGAACACCAGUGGCGAAGGCGGCUCUCUGGUCUGUAACUGACGCUGAGGCUCGAAAGCGUGGGGAGCAAACAGGAUUAGAUACCCCUGGUAGUCCACGCCGUAAACGAUGAGUGCUAAGUGUUGGAGGGUGUCCGCCCUUCAGUGCUGCAGCUAACGCAUUAAGCACUCCGCCUGGGGAGUACGACCGCAAGGUUGAAACUCAAAGGAAUUGACGGGGGCCCGCACAAGCGGUGGAGCAUGUGGUUUAAUUCGAAGCAACGCGAAGAACCUUACCAGGUCUUGACAUCCUUUGACCACUCUAGAGAUAGAGCUUCCCCUUUGGGGGCAAAGUGACAGGUGGUGCAUGGUUGUCGUCAGCUCGUGUCGUGAGAUGUUGGGUUAAGUCCCGCAACGAGCGCAACCCUUAUUGUUAGUUGCCAUCAUUCAGUUGGGCACUCUAGCAAGACUGCCGGUGACAAACCGGAGGAAGGUGGGGAUGACGUCAAAUCAUCAUGCCCCUUAUGACCUGGGCUACACACGUGCUACAAUGGGAAGUACAACGAGUCGCGAAGUCGCGAGGCUAAGCUAAUCUCUUAAAGCUUCUCUCAGUUCGGAUUGUAGGCUGCAACUCGCCUACAUGAAGCCGGAAUCGCUAGUAAUCGCGGAUCAGCACGCCGCGGUGAAUACGUUCCCGGGCCUUGUACACACCGCCCGUCACACCACGAGAGUUUGUAACACCCGAAGUCGGUGAGGUAACCUUUUGGAGCCAGCCGCCUAAGGUGGGAUAGAUGAUUGGGGUGAAGUCGUAA